rnacentral:tRNA from 1 species
GCCAGAAUAGCUCAGUCGGUAGAGCAGCGCUUUCGUAAAGCGCAGGUCAUCGGUUCAAGUCCGAUUUCUGGCUCCA